CCUACGGGAGGCAGCAGUGAGGAAUAUUGGUCAAUGGGCGGAAGCCUGAACCAGCCAAGUAGCGUGCAGGAUGACGGCCCUACGGGUUGUAAACUGCUUUUAUACGGGAAUAACGCGCCUUACGUGUAGGGUUUUGCAUGUACCGUAUGAAUAAGGAUCGGCUAAUUCCGUGCCAGCAGCCGCGGUAAUACGGAAGGUCCGGGCGUUAUCCGGAUUUAUUGGGUUUAAAGGGAGCGUAGGCCGCCUGUCAAGCGUGCUGUGAAAUGUUCGGGCUCAACCCGGGCCUUGCAGCGCGAACUGGCGUGCUUGAGUCCGCGGAAAGCAGGCGGAAUUCGUCGUGUAGCGGUGAAAUGCUUAGAUAUGACGAAGAACCCCGAUUGCGAAGGCAGCUUGCUGCAGCGGAACUGACGCUGAUGCUCGAAAGCGCGGGUAUCGAACAGGAUUAGAUACCCUUGUAGUC
rnacentral:rRNA from 1 species